rnacentral:misc_RNA from 1 species
GUUUUGGCUUGUAGGCCAACGGGGAUGGCAAAGAAUAGCAGGUUGGUGCUUGUAUCACUUUACGGGGUGGUGAAGGAAAGUUUUGGGCUUUAUGUUGAUAUAUGUGAGGCAUUGGGGUUGUUGUUGGAUAGAUUUACUGAGAUGGAUUAUGCAGAUUGUGUUAAGGGAUUUGAUAUGUAUGUUAGUGCAGCAAGGAUGAUAGAUGAACUUGUUGGGUUUUAUGGUUGGUGUAAGGAUAUAGGGAUUGCAAGAUCAUCCGAAUUCCCUGCUGUGCAGAGAAUUACUGAUCAGCUGUUGGGGACACUUGAAGGAUUUUUGAAAGAAAUGACUAACAAGACAUCUAAGGGUCCAGAGAGAAGUAAGGAGGAGAAGGUUUCUAUUAAGCAGGAACCAGAACCGGAUAUGAAUGAGGUCAAGGCUCUUCCUCCACCAGAAAAUUAUAUCCCUACACCACCUACUGAGCCACAGCCAAAGCCACAACCGCAUCAGGUAACAGAGGAUUUGGUGAAUUUGAAGGACGAUGCAGUUUCAGCUGAUGAGCAGGGCAACAAAUUGGCUUUGGCUUUGUUCAAUGGACCUCCAACUACCUGUACAAAUAAUUCAUGGGAAGCAUUCCCAUCGAAUGGAGAUUCUGAAGUGACUUCAGCUUGGCAGACACCAGCUGCUGAGAGUGGCAAAGCAGAUUGGGAAUUGGCAUUGGUGGAAUCAACUAGUAAUCUAUCAAAGCAGAAAGCUACUUUAGGGGGUGGUAUGGAUCCACUGCUAUUGAAUGGAAUGUAUGAUCAGGGAGCAGUGAGGCAACAUGUGAACACUACUCAAUUGAGUGCUGGGAGUGCAAGUAGUGUGGCAUUGCCUUGCCCAGGGAAGAGUGCAACACCAGUGUUGGCAUUGCCUGCACCUGAUGGGACGUUCCAGCCGGUUGGGAACCAGGAUCCAUUUGCUGCAUCCUUUGCAGUUCCUCCCCCUUCAUAUGUGCAGAUAGCAGACAUGGAAAGGAAGCAGCACUUGCUGGUUCAGGAACAGCAGAUUUGGCAACAAUAUGGAAGAGAUGGGAUGCAAGGUCAAGUGGGUUUGGCCAAUAUUAGCGGUGCCUCUGGGUAUUAUGGCCCUAGUCCUCAACCAAUGAUGAUGCCUUAUGGAAUGCCACAGCUCAGUGGUAUGGGGCAACCAGGAGGGUACUACUAUACACAAUAUUGAAGUUAAUCCCUGCUUGUUUCUAUGGUGCACAUCACUAGGAUAUGCUUAUUUCCAACCUUUUUGGGAAGAGUUUAUAUACACAAAAGGUUAAUACCUAGUCCCAUUGUUGUUCGCAUCAGAGGGAGUGAGGAACAUAAAAGGUUUCAAAAUGUUAUGCUGCAAUAUUUAAUGUGCAUUUACUUUUGCAUUUUUUGCUAUCGAUUUCAAUACACAAUUUUUUUUUAAUAUAAAAAAA